UUCAAUGAUACUCUGUCAUCAAACCAAACCACAAGGGGCACUGUAGAGUUACAUUGAGACAUGAUUUGCAGCACAAACAGAAAUGGAAGCACGUAAAUAC